UACGAGGGGAGCAAGCGUUGUUCGGAUUUACUGGGCGUAAAGGGCGCGUAGGCGGUCGUGACAAGUCACUUGUGAAAUCUCCGGGCUUAACUCGGAACGGUCAAGUGAUACUGUCGGACUAGAGUACAGAAGGGGCAACUGGAAUUCUCGGUGUAGCGGUGAAAUGCGCAGAUAUCAGGAGGAACACCGGUGGCGAAGGCGGAUCUCUGGGCCAUUACUGACGCUGAGGAGCGAAAGCGUGGGGAGCGAACAGG
rnacentral:rRNA from 1 species